rnacentral:lncRNA from 1 species
UGCAAUUCAGCAUAGAGAUUCAAAUCAGAUGCUUUUCAAAGAGAGACGUAUAGAGAUGAAGAAAGUGGAGGUGUUCUUUUUGGUCGCUCUGUUAAUACUGUCUGUGAAAACAGUUGGGAGAGCGGAUGAGCCUAUUUGGUGCAAUGAUGGCUGUACCACUGCCGGUGUUCAAAAGAAUCGUAAGCCCUUAUCUUCUAUAA